UUACGACCAUAUUACCUUGAAACACCAGUUUUCGUGCGAUCACAGAAGUUAAGCAAAAUUGAGGCCUGUACAGUACCUACAUGGGUGACUGCUUGGGAAUACCAGGUGCUGCAUGC